UCUGUGAGACUGUGUUGCUGGGUCAGAUGGGAAAACAACGAGCCUUAGCUGUGAGUGUCAGACCAGCUCCUAGCAACACUGAGGCGCAGCUGAGUCAGACUAAGUUCCGAGAUGUCAGGAGCUGCUUUCCAGAGAAUCUGUCUACUGAGAGAAAAAGAAAGAUACAAAAUGAGACACCGCUUCUGUUCUGAGGACCCAUCCUGUGGAUAUGCAAGUCCAUCAACGCAAUUUAAAACCAUGGAAAAAUUCUUCUAUAGAGGAGUGACACUCUUGGAGACGUUAAGACAAUUAAUCUGCAAACAGUGUUGAAUCCAGGCCACUGGUGUUGGAGAAACUGGGGUAAAGAAGAUCUCAAAGAGGGCCUCUUAACAUCUUGACACUGUUUUAAUGAUGAUACCCUUUAAGAGGAAUAACAACUUUAUGCUCACUUUUCCAGUUUUCA
ensembl:lncRNA